GGGAGUAAAAGUCGUAACAAGGUUUCCGUAGGUGAACCCGCGGAAGGAUCAUUAUUGUAUAACCGAGGUGCGAGGGCUGUCGCUGACCCGAAAGGUCGUGCACGCCCGAGUGCCCUCACACACAUCCAUCUCACCCCUAUGUGCACCACCGCGUGGGUCCCCCUUUGGCUUGUUCGGAGGGGGGCUUACGUUUUCACACAAACUUUGUAUGCAGUGUAGAAUGUAUUUUUUGUUUUUGCGAUCACGCAAUCAAUACAACUUUCAACAACGGAUCUCUUGGCUCUC
rnacentral:misc_RNA from 1 species